rnacentral:tRNA from 1 species
GGAGUUGUGGCUCAGUGGUAAGAUCACUUGCCUAGCAUGUGUGAGGCCCUGCGUUCGAUUUUCAGCACCG